rnacentral:rRNA from 1 species
GUGGGGAAUUUUGGACAAUGGGCGAAAGCCUGAUCCAGCCAUGCCGCGUGCAGGAUGAAGGCCUUCGGGUUGUAAACUGCUUUUGUACGGAACGAAAAGACUCUUUCUAAUAAAGGGGGUCCAUGACGGUACCGUAAGAAUAAGCACCGGCUAACUACGUGCCAGCAGCCGCGGUAAUACGUAGGGUGUAAGCGUUAAUCGGAAUUACUGGGCGUAAAGCGUGCGCAGGCGGGUAUAUAAGACAGAUGUGAAAUCCCCGGGCUCAACCUGGGAACUGCAUUUGUGACUGUAUAGCUAGAGUACGGUAGAGGGGGAUGGAAUUCCGCGUGUAGCAGUGAAAUGCGUAGAUAUGCGGAGGAACACCGAUGGCGAAGGCAAUCCCCUGGACCUGUACUGACGCUCAUGCACGAAAGCGUGGGGAGCAAACAAGAUUAGAUACCCCUGUAGUCC